AAACAUGCGAUGAGGGAAAGAGUGUUUGGCAGCAAGUUUUAGCAGCGAGCCGGGAGGGUGAAAGCCGGCAAAACGGGCCAAAUACGGGGGUUCCUGAGCAGCGGGGGGAAAGCCUGCAACAGGUGAGUAAAACCCGCACCAAAUGAAGGCGGGCUGCGCAUGCAGCCAAGCAGGGUGGAACCGCGGGAAUGACCUCCCGUCCCUGAC
rnacentral:ncRNA from 1 species